rnacentral:lncRNA from 1 species
AAAGAAAAGUGAUCUGAAGAUGGAAUGGAUUACCUUGAGAGAGAUGUGAUGCUCAGAUCUCCCCUCAAGAAAGGACGUGCUACCAGCUGCAAGACUUGCUACCCAGCUGUGGCUAGCUGAUAGCCUCGUUAUUGGCUUUGUCAGAGUUUACCUCAACUUUCUGGCCAGGUGAGGUGAUCCCCAGCCAAUUACCUGACAAUGCAGUGGGACAGUGGUCUAGCCAUUUCUGCCUAACAUACCACUCUAUCAGGGAGUCUCUGCUCCGAAGCUCCCACUAGGCUGACAGCAACUUUGUCAACUCUGCAUCACUGUCUGACAGUUUCCCCUAAUUCUGCACCCUUCCUUCUCCUUUCGCUGGAGUUAAGCUCUACUAAAACAUUUUGCACUUCUAGCUACAUUUUAGUAUCCUCUCCCUGGGGGGAUCUUUCCUGUGACAAAAACAAAGAUUCAUUUAUUUCCAAUUUAAUCUGUAAACUUAAUCUCUCACCUAUUUAACCUCUUUUAUGUUAAUAAUGCUUGGCACGCUUUCCCUCAGACUGUGACAUUUUGGUUUCAUGUUCCCAAAACAUUUUAAACCUAGUACAAUGAGUUUGUUUCUUCCCAUAAUCAUUGUGCUUUUACCAGCAAAACAUUUUACACAUUGAUUUAAAAGUUUGUAUUAUUGAUAUUCUAAAAUAUAAUUAUUUUAAAUAUAUUUCACUUUAUUUGGUAAAGAUACGUGUAUUAUUCCCCCCAAAAGCCUUAAGAGCUUUGAAACAGAAAAAAAACAACAAACCUUAACAGCACCAUCUUAUGGUACUUAACUAGGAACUGUUCACUGCUCAAUCAAUAUGACAAAAAGCAGACUUUUGAAGCC